CAGUAGAAUGGUUGCAUGCUGCCGUGUUGUACGCUGACCGAGGUAUGAACAGAAACUUAUACUGUGGUUGCCAUACUCAUUACAGGCUAAUAAAAACUGCAUCAUCCCAAUCCGGUGUCCAUCACUGACCAGGGCAGACGAACACCCAAUAGGAACCCGUCUUUGAUGAUCUUCAUGCUGAACCGGGACCUGUUCUGCUGCCCUCUGUCUGUGUGGAGCCAGGUGCACAGUGUAGAUGGACUGACACAUUCACUGUUUUCGU